UACAGAGGUCUCAAGCGUUGUUCGGAUUCAUUGGGCGUAAAGGGUGUGUAGGUGGCGCCGUAAGUCGGGGUGUGAAAUUUCGGAGCUUAACUCCGAAACUGCAUUCGAUACUGCGGUGCUUGAGGACUGGAGAGGAGACUGGAAUUUACGGUGUAGCAGUGAAAUGCGUAGAGAUCGUAAGGAAGACCAGUGGCGAAGGCGGGUCUCUGGACAGUUCCUGACACUGAGGCACGAAGGCCAGGGGAGCAAACGGG
rnacentral:rRNA from 1 species